UACGUAGGGUGCUAGCGUUGUCCGGAUUUAUUGGGCGUAAAGCGCGUGUAGGCGGCAUGGCAAGUCGGGUGUGAAAGCCCUCAGCUUAACUGAGGAAGUGCGCCCGAAACUGCCGUGCUUGAGUGCCGGAGAGGAUGGCGGAAUUCCCCAAGUAGAGGUGAAAUUCGUAGAUAUGGGAAGGAACACCGGUGGCGAAGGCGGCCACCUGGACGGUAACUGACGCUGAGACGCGAAAGCGUGGGGAGCAAACAGG
rnacentral:rRNA from 1 species